UACAGAGGGUGCAAGCGUUGUUCGGAAUUACUGGGCGUAAAGCGCGUGUAGGCUGCGGUGUAAGUCGGACGUGAAAGCCCUUGGCUUAACCAAGGAAGUGCGUCCGAUACUGCGUCGCUUGAGUGUCGGAGGGGGGCGGCGGAAUUCCCGGUGUAGAGGUGAAAUUCGUAGAUAUCGGGAGGAACACCUGUGGCGAAGGCGGCCGCCUGGACGAUAACUGACGCUGAGACGCGAAAGCGUGGGUAGCAAACAGG
rnacentral:rRNA from 1 species